rnacentral:rRNA from 1 species
AAUGAACGCUGGCGGCGCGCCUAAUACAUGCAAGUCGAGCGAGGAGACGUAGCAAUACGUUUGUAAAGCGGCGAACGGGUGAGGAAUACAUGGGUAACCUACCCUCGAGUGGGGAAUAACUAGCCGAAAGGUUAGCUAAUACCGCGUACGCUCCUUGGACUUCGGUUCAGGGAGGAAAGUGAUACCGUGGGUAUCGCGCUCUUGGUUGGGCUCAUGUCCUAUCAGCUUGUUGGUGAGGUAACGGCUCACCAAGGCUUCGACGGGUAGCUGGUCUGAGAGGACGAUCAGCCACACUGGCACUGCGACACGGGCCAGACUCCUACGGGAGGCAGCAGUAAGGAAUAUUGCGCAAUGGGGCGAAAGCCUGACGCAGCGACGCCGCGGUGGGGGAGU